GCUCAUUUCUAAUUUUUUUUUCGAGUGCUCAUUUCUAAUUUUUUUUUCAAGUGCUCAUUUCUAAUUUUUUUUUUUUUCGAGUGCAUAUUUCUAAUGUUUUGCUUUUUUUUCAGUCAUGGUUUCUAGGGCACGCAGAGGUCUGAGUACGGCCGAAAUCAAUGAAGUCAUUGCUCAAUAUGAAAGCGACGAUUUUGAUGGCAGUUACGUUUCAUUUGGCUGACACGUAGCAGGGACAUCUUCCUGCCAUUGGCCACGUCAAGCUGCGCAAGCGUGUUCGCUGCCGAAGUUGCCCAUCUAGAGACGACCACAAGACGAACACAGCAUGUUUGCGAUGCAAACGGGCCCGUGUUCCUACAGCAUCAAACUGUCUUGUGUCCGAAGUGUGUGCCUCGUACGUAGGUAGCAAAUUUGGCCGUCGCACUUGUCGUGGGUGGGGGCCCAUUUACUGUAUAUAUCAAUUAGAUUUUGACCUCUAUGGGUCCGACACCUUUUCUGGCUGUGGAGACUUGUAAAUUGUAGUUUUAGGAAGGAUUCCCUCAAUUUAUUUUCUUAUAUAGGUUAUUUUGUAUUUUUUAUAAAUAUUUUUGUAAAUUAUUUUUUGUUAUAUACUUAUUUUUUUUUAAAUAUUUGUAAUAAAUAUCAAAUUUGUA